rnacentral:rRNA from 1 species
GACGAACGCUGGCGGCAUGCCUAACACAUGCAAGUCGAGCGAGUAGAUCCCUUCGGGGUGAAGCUAGCGGCGGACGGGUGAGUAACACGUGGGCAACCUGCCUCAUAGAGGGGAAUAGCCUUCCGAAAGGAAGAUUAAUACCGCAUAAGAUUGUAGUACCGCAUGGUAUAGCAAUUAAAGGAGCAAUCCGCGAUGAGAUGGGCCCGCGGCGCAUUAGCUAGUUGGUGAGGUAACGGCUUACCAAGGCGACGAUGCGUAGCCGACCUGAGAGGGUGAGCGGCCACAUUGGGACUGAGACACGGCCCAGACUCCUACGGGAGGCAGCAGUGGGGAAUAUUGCACAAUGGGGGAAACCCUGAUGCAGCAAUGCCGCGUGAGUGAUGACGGCCUUCGGGUUGUAAAGCUCUGUCUUCGGGGACGAUAAUGACGGUACCCGAGGAGGAAGCCACGGCUAACUACGUGCCAGCCGCCGCUGUAA